ensembl:misc_RNA
AAACGGAGACAAAGAUUUAAGCUUUUCCUAGCCAUUCUUUCCCUUUUUGCUCUUCACACCGCAGUCGAGGAUCUUUCUAUGUGCAGUAUUAUUUUGUUUGUUUUAGCCUGGUAAUUUUAAAGAUACCUAGGAGGGUAGGAGAGCUGACCCAACAGAGAAGGGAAAAAUUCUCUUCUGACCAUAGUGACAUAAGGAGGUCAGUUCACACCAGAUACCUUUACAGCAUGUGUCUUUCUGUUUAAAAACAUCUUAGUACUUAAGGUAUUUUAAUAUAAGCCCAUAACUAGCUCUUUACCCUUUUUAUUUCAUUUCUCACUAUUCUCAUUUAUCUGUUUCUGUGCUCCUU